rnacentral:misc_RNA from 1 species
UCUCCGUAGGUGAACCUGCGGAGGGAUCAUUACAGAGUUCAUGCCCUACCGGGGUAGAUCUCCCACCCUAUGUUAUUAUUACUUUGUUGCUUUGGCGGGCCGUUAGGCUCCGGCCCGACUACCGGCCCCGGCUGGUAAGCGCCCGCCAGAGGACCCAAAACCCUGAAUAUUAGUGUCGUCUGAGUACUAUAUAAUAGUUAAAACUUUCAACAACGGAUCUCUUGGUUCUG